GACGAACGCUGGCGGCGUGCCUAAUACGUGCAAGUCGAGCGGACAGAAGGGAGCUUGCUCCCGGAAGUUAGCGGCGGACGGGUGAGUAACACGUGGGCAACCUACCCUGUAGAUCGGGAUAACAUCGAGAAAUCGGUGCUAAUACCGGAUAAUCAUUUGAAGUGCAUGCUUCGAAUGUAAAAGAUGGCUCCGGCUAUCACUACGGGAUGGGCCCGCGGCGCAUUAGCUAGUUGGUAAGGUAAUGGCUUACCAAGGCAACGAUGCGUAGCCGACCUGAGAGGGUGAUCGGCCACACUGGGACUGAGACACGGCCCAGACUCCUACGGGAGGCAGCAGUAGGGGAUCUUCCGCAAUGGACGAAAGUCUGACGGAGCAACGCCGCGUGAGUGGUGAAGGUUUUUGGAUCGUAAAGCUCUGUUGUUAGGGAAGAACAAGUGCCGUUUGAAUAAGGCGGCACCUUGACGGUACCUAACCAGAAAGCCACGGCUAACUACGUGCCAGCCGCCGCCGUAAUAC
rnacentral:rRNA from 1 species